rnacentral:rRNA from 1 species
GACGUAGGGUCCAAGCGUUGUCCGGAUUUACUGGGCGUAAAGAGCGCGUAGGCGGCUCGUUAAGUGUGAAGUGAAAUCUCUAGGGCUCAACCCAGAAACUGCUUUACAUACUGGCGAGCUGGAGUGAUGAAGAGGUUUGUGGAAGUUCCUGGUGUAGCGGUGAAAUGCGCAGAUAUCAGGAGGAACACCGGUGGCGAAGGCGGGUCUCUGGGCCGAUACUGACGCUGAGGAGCGAAAGCGUGGGGAGCGAACAGG